GCUUGCUUGGUGGAUCAGUGGCGAACGGGUGAGUAACACGUGAGCAACCUGCCCUGAACUCUGGGAUAAGCGCUGGAAACGGUGUCUAAUACUGGAUAUGAGCCGCGGAGGCAUCUUCGUGGUUGGAAAGAUUUUUCGGUUUGGGAUGGGCUCGCGGCCUAUCAGCUUGUUGGUGAGGUAAUGGCUCACCAAGGCGUCGACGGGUAGCCGGCCUGAGAGGGUGACCGGCCACACUGGGACUGAGACACGGCCCAGACUCCUACGGGAGGCAGCAGUGGGGAAUAUUGCACAAUGGGCGGAAGCCUGAUGCAGCAACGCCGCGUGAGGGAUGACGGCCUUCGGGUUGUAAACCUCUUUUAGCAGGGAAGAAGCGAAAGUGACGGUACCUGCAGAAAAAGCGCCGGCUAACUACGUGCCAGCAGCCGCGGUAAUACGUAGGGCGCAAGCGUUAUCCGGAAUUAUUGGGCGUAAAGAGCUCGUAGGCGGUUUGUCGCGUCUGCUGUGAAAUCUGGGGGCUCAACCCCCAGCCUGCAGUGGGUACGGGCAGACUAAAGUGCGGUAGGGGAGAUUGGAAUUCCUGGUGUAGCGGUGGAAUGCGCAAAUAUCAGGAGGAACACCGAUGGCGAAGGCAGAUCUCUGGGCCGUAACUGACGCUGAGGAGCGAAAGGGUGGGGAGCAAACAGGCUUAAAUACCCUGGUAGUCCACCCCGUAAACGUUGGGAACUAGUUGUGGGGUCCAUUCCACGGAUUCCGUGACGCAGCUAACGCAUUAAGUUCCCCGCCUGGGGAGUACGGCCGCAAGGCUAAACUCAAAGGAAUUGACGGGGACC
rnacentral:rRNA from 1 species